rnacentral:lncRNA from 1 species
CCCUGUUCCUCUGUGUACACUUGGGGGUCAGAAGAGGAAGUCCAGGGCAAUGCAUUUAUGGGGCAGGGCCCUCAGCAUCACCCUCCAUGAGGACAGGGCCUGGGGGGCAGGGAUCUGGGCUGAGCAGCUCUCAGGUGGGAGCAGGACACCUGCUCAGGAAGCUGACUCUCCUGCCUGUGUUGCUGGGCCAGUGGGCAGAGACGCAGAGGUGACUGGACGCACCCAGUCCUAGAGGGGCCCCCAGCACAGCCCUGCAGCCCUGCCACAGGCAGAUCCAUCCUCCCAGGGGAAACUGUGCUGUGCUGGAUCCCCCAGAUUCCCACAGGAAGUGACCCCAGAACCCAAUCUCUGCUGAUCACAGUGACGUCAGCACAGAGCACAGAAGGUGGCUCCAGCAGCCUCGCUCUCAGGUGAGAGAAGGGCCUGCAGUCCAGAAGGAGGGGGAGGGCUCCUUCCUCACUUGGAACUGAUAGCAUCACUUUGCUGCUUGUCAAAGAGAUUUGUGGCCCUUGCUGAGGAAAAAGAUAAAUGACGCAACGGAAAAGUAUGUUGAAUGAAAUAGGAAGCCCGUGGAGGAGGAAGUCAAAGUGCCCUUCCAGCCCCCCACCAGGUUCUGCCAUGGCAUUAUUCCAAUGAACAAAGAUCUACAACACCUUAUAAAAGGAAAUAUAAUAUUUCACUGGGAGGCUGCAUCUCCACUGGCUAAACCGAUGUUCUCUUACCAGAGCCUUGAUUUGUCAUCCACAUGUCUCCAGCAUAAAUAUUGUCGGUGGAAAUUCCUGUAUACAUGUGCUAUGUGUCUUUGUGUCUUCUUGAAAUGGAGCAGGUCCUUGCCACCCCCACCUCACCCACCAUGUCUUCUGCCUGCGUUUUGCCUAUGGAAAACUUUAGUCAGAGGAUAAGUUUAAUCAGAGAAAUGAGAAAAGCUGAAACAAAGGAAAACAGUCAGAGAAAACUAAAUAAUAAUAACGUGGUCAUCAAGCAUAGUCAAGGACUUUUAGUUCUUUCUCAAGGGCUAUAGAUGAUAUUCUGAGCAUAUUCUGUGAGCUGUCUUAUAGUUACCAAAACACCAGGUGGGGAAGUUAACUACGUGAUGACCAGAUUGUACCCAGGACAUGAGCUGCCACAAUUCUGAGAAUUGACUGCAAAGGAAUGGGAACAAACGGACCCUGGAAAUGAAGAUUAACUGUUCCUAAAACAAUCAAGAUGGUGCUGGUCAGACCACUGAUGACCAAUUUGAAGAUGAUUGUUAGAGAUAACUGUGCUGUUUCUGCAUGUACCCUCACCCCAACUCUGUCUAUAAAAGCUCUCACUGCCUGCUUUUUGGGGUGGAGUUGGCCUUUGGACAGAUGUCUGCCACCCCCACCCCCCAGUUGCCAGCAUCUGAAAUAAAGCAAAUGUUCCUUUCCA